rnacentral:rRNA from 1 species
UACGUAGGGUGCGAGCGUUAAUCGGAAUUACUGGGCGUAAAGCGUGCGCAGGCGGUUCGUUGUGUCGGCGGUGAAAUCCCCGGGCUCAACCUGGGAAUGGCCGUUGAAACUGGCGAACUGGAGUGUGGCAGAGGGGGGUGGAAUUCCGCGUGUAGCAGUGAAAUGCGUAGAGAUGCGGAGGAACACCGGUGGCGAAGGCGGCCCGCUGGGCAGUUGCUGACACUGAGGUGCGAAAGCGUGGGGAGCAAACAGG